rnacentral:tRNA from 1 species
GCCCGGGUGGCGAAACUGGCCAGACGCGGGGGACUUAAAAUCCCCUGGGGCAACCCAUGCGGGUUCGAAUCCCGCCCCGGGCA